rnacentral:rRNA from 1 species
UACGUAGGGUGCAAGCGUUAAUCGGAAAUUACUGGGCGUAAAGCCGUGCGCAGGCGGUUUUGUAAGUCAGAUGUGAAAUCCCCCGGGCUUAACCUGGGAACUGCGUUUGAAACUACAAGGCUAGAGUGUGGCAGAGGGGGGUGGAAUUCCACGUGUAGCAGUGAAAUGCGUAGAGAUGUGGAGGAACACCGAUGGCGAAGGCAGCCCCCUGGGCCUGCACUGACGCUCAUGCACGAAAGGCGUGGGGAGCAAACAGG